CAAAGUGACAACACGAGCAGACAAGUAGUUAUAAACUAGUUAAGCUGAAAAAAAAAGAGCGUGGAUAAAUUAAAUUAAAGCAACCUUGAGACGACACAUAGGAGAAGUGGAAGAGGUGAUUAUAUGAUCUGUGUGCCAGGAGUUGAAUGCUUUUAGCAGAGUCUUGGCUAGGUUUUUGAGAUUCCCUGGAGAUACCCUUAGAUUUGGAUUUUGGAUUCUCCUUGACGAAGGAGAUGGCGAGCCAGUACUGAACCAGAUCCCCUCCUUAUCCCAAGGAGUUGGAACCAUCUUCGCCCAGAGGAGAAGACCAUCCCGGCCUUCACUCUCCAUCAUUUGAGUGGUAGGACUGUGACAACUUCACACCUUACCAUAUGACUUCUGACAGAACUAAAACGUUUUGAACUGAAACUGACCCUCUGACUUAAGCUAGCUGAACGGACGACGACUAACUAAACUGGAACUUGAGUGGAUCAAAGGAAUCCUGGACUUUAUUAAUCUUGAACUCUAUUCAUACCAAAGACAUUUCCUCGUGGAGUUGAACUGUGUUGGGUAUUAUAUUUCUAAGGUGGUUUAUGUUAAUUUCUUAAAACACUGUGAAACUAUUUUUGUUCCAGAGUCCUGGUUAAGAAAGGACCUUUGUUAUUUUUCAUUAUACAACUUUCAAUACAUUCACAUUUGAAGUUAAAGUA